GAAAACCGUCUCUCCAAGCAGCAGGAAGCAUAAAUGAUUGGUUUUGUUUAAGCAGAAGAGAUAAAGAUUGUUGUUUAAACCAAUAAAAUGUUACAUUUUUAUUGACUCACCCAGACGUUGCCUGUGUUUCCCCACCUAUGUUCAGCAGACGUUUUAUUUACAUACCAUAAUAACCAAAUAAAAGGAUAUAAACAUUAUGAGCGACGUGUGAGGUUAGACUCAGAAAUGGCACACAGAUGGGAGGGCUAAAAAUGAUAACAGGGUCAUUAAAAGAUAAAUAUCCUCCACAAGGGAAGACAGUCGUCACAGACAGCCUCUCUGCAGCAGCAAAAAGCAGAAAAUAAAACAACUCUGGAAAAAUGCUCAGAAAUUUUCUUGUAGCGUCUCUUUGCCUCCUCGCCACAGUAAAUCUGUGUGGAACAACCGACCCACCUCCUAAGUCAGAACCAUCAACAACACCAACACCACCACAAAGAACCACAGACAUCAGUCCUGAAACUUCAGCUAGUCCACCAACCUCAACCCCAACUGGUUCACCAGCCACAGUCGACCAAACUGGUGAAACUGGUUCACCAACCACAGUCGACCAAACUGGUGAAACUGGUUCACCAGCCACAGCCAGCCUAAACUCAACCACAGUCCUCCCCUCGUCGGGACCGGCAGGGCUGUCCGGAGGGGCGAUAGCCGGCAUCACCAUCGGUACCAUCGCCGGGGCGGGCUUACUGGGCGGCGGUAUCUACGGUCUGCUGAAGUACACCAACAAAAUCUGAGACUAACACCAUUCAAAUUAUGAUUUAUGUGGCCACUCAUUGCACAAUAAACAAUUUCCUACUCCAACGUUACCCGAAACCCUGACCUGGAACAAGAGAACAAGAUGCUUCGUCUGAAAAGUUGAUUUGAGAGGAAAAACUUUUCCUGCAUGAUAAGGCGGCCAGAAGAAAGCAUCGUGCUCUUUAAUUUUAGUUCUAAAAUGAAAGGAAAACUAUUUUACCCACUUAAAAUAUGUUGUAAUAUGUAUGGUCAAAGUUUAUUUCUCAUUAGGUGGGGAUUUUUUUAAAUGAAACACAUAUAUUGAACCUACCAUGAUCAUUUAUUGUGAAAGGAAAAAAAAAUUUUGUAAUCUAAGUUCAUCUGAUGAUCUCAUAAUUGUCUCUUUUUUUUUAAAUUGAACGAUUAAAAAAAGAGAAGAAACAGAACAACUAAAAAGUGAUACUUUAUAUUAAAAAAAACAGACUGGAUCUAAAAAUAAAAGGCUUAAAAAACUGGGAGUUCAUAAUUUUUGCAAAGACAAAUGUUCCCAUGUCUGAAUAUUCCCAAACAGCCAAACAAGCAGCACAGCCAUUAUGGAUAUUAGCUGCUCCACUAGAGGCUAACGCUAAUUCACAACAAAUGUUUUGUACAGUCAUGCAUAUUAUUUACUUACUUCAGUUUUUCACAAACCUGACACCAAAUAAAGUAGUGAAAGAGCAUGAAUUAUUGCUGAAGGCAUUUUUCUUAUAAUGGUUGAUGCUAACUGCUAAUGGUAAAACUACAUCUUCCACAAAACUAAUGCUGUUAAUUUCCUACUAAAAUAACUAUACUGUUCACUGUAAAACUCCUGUCUGAUCAUAAACAACCUCUGAAGCAAGUACUCAGAUUUUUAAAAAAAUCACUCUUCUUAUUUCCUGCAGUCGCUAGCUAUGCUAACGCUUCACUGUACAUUAAUAAGAUCAGCAAUUGGAGACUGAGUUUUAGUUGAUUUACUUGUUUUUUUCUUUCAGUUCUUCUCUACAACAGAAAACAAACAAUACAAAUCUGUUAAAGCAGCAGCUGACAAGACUUAAGCAAAGUCAUUUUCAAACAUCCGUUGUAGCUGCACUGCUAGCGCUAGCGUGUACAUAAAAAUAUCAAACCAGAGAGGCUCGGUUUCAGCUGGGAUAUGUUUUGUUCUUUUCUGUAAAAGAAAACUAACAAAUCAUGAACCAUCCCAGAACCUUUAAACAAACUUAUCAUGCAAGUCUUAACUGCUAAUUUUGGGCCUCAAUGCGGCUCAUACUUUUGUGUGCUUUCAAAAACUAUAGAAUAUUUUUUGAUUUAUUAUUUCUCUGUGGAACAAAGACAUGAAUAAACAUCCACCUGAAGCCA